GAUGAAGAACGUAGCGAAAUGCGAUAAGUAAUGUGAAUUGCAGAAUUCAGUGAAUCAUCGAGUCUUUGAACGCACAUUGCGCCCCCUGGUAUUCCGGGGAGCAUGCCUGUCUGAGCGUCAUUGCCGCCCUCAAGCACGGCUUGUGUGUUGGGCCCCCGCCCCCCGGCUUCGGGGGGCGGGCCCGAAAGGCAGCGGCGGCACCGCGUCCGGUCCUCGAGCGUAUGGGGCUUCGUCACCCGCUCUGUAGGCCCGGCCGGCGCCCGCCGGCGACCCCAAUCAAUCUUUCCAGGUUGACCUCGGAUCAGGUAGGGAUACCCGCUGAACUUAAGCAUAUCAAUAAGCGGAGGA
rnacentral:misc_RNA from 1 species